CCUACGGGUGGCAGCAGUGGGGAAUAUUGCACAAUGGGGGAAACCCUGAUGCAGCGACGCCGCGUGAGUGAAGAAGUAUUUCGGUAUGUAAAGCUCGAGCAGCAGGGAAGAAAAUGACGGUACCUGACUAAGAAGCCCCGGCUAACGACGUGCCAGUAGCCGCGGUAAUACGUAGGGGGCAAGCGUCAUCCGGAUUGACUGGGAGUAAAGGGAGCGUAGACGGCCAGACAAGUCAGAAGUGAAAGCCAAGGGCUCCACUCGGGGACUGCUUUUGAAACUGCCGGGCUGGAGGGCAGGAGAGGUAAGCGGAAUUCCUAGUGUAGCGGUUAAAUGCGUAGAUAUUAGGAGGAACCCCAGUGGCGAAGGCGGCUUACUGGACUGUACCUGCCGUUGCGGCUCG
rnacentral:rRNA from 1 species